rnacentral:misc_RNA from 1 species
UCUCCGUUGGUGAACCAGCGGAGGGAUCAUUACUGGAAUCGCAAGAUCCCACAACCCUGUGAACCUACCGAAACGUUGCCUCGGCGGGUGCCCGGCCUCUGCGCCGGGCGCUGCGCCCGCCGGCGGCCCCCUACUCUGUCUCUGCAGCGUGGCAUCUCAGAGUCCCCGAAAACAAGUCAAAACUUUCAACAACGGAUCUCUUGGCUCUA